GACUUACAUUUUUCUUCAGGAUGUGUGCUUUAUGAUUGGUUGCCGUAUGAUUGGUUUCCCUCAUUCUGUCUUCCAUUUUUUGAACAAAAGGACUAACCCCAAACUCCAAAAAUGAUCUUUCUCUCUCCAUCUCGCUCUUCCUCCCUCAAGCUGUACAGGGAAGUUAAUUUGGUGAUGAUGGCAACGGAGGUCCUGGGAGGCUAAUAGCUUUUCCAGACCCCCUCCUUUCCUCUCUGUUGAUCUCGGGUGAGUCUGUCCCGGUAAGCGGCCGGAGUCUUUGUCAGUCGUCAGGCUGCACAUCUCAACAGAUGGCACACUUGGCUCCUCUCAGACGUUCUGCACGUCAGGCUCUUUCGUGAGCGUCCGAUGAAGAGCAGCGGCCCGUUGUCCUACAGCAGACCAGCUCUGUGUUUGAUUUGUUUGAGUCUUGCCAGCAGAACCUCAAUAAAGGCCCGGGAUGGCCUGAACCGAGAGCUCCCGAAGGCAGUCGUCCUGUGGAAGCGAGGAUGAUUGUUGAGUCAUUUGCAGGUGAUCUGAGCACUUCAGAAAGCUU
ensembl:lncRNA